rnacentral:rRNA from 1 species
GACGAACGCUGGCGGCGUGCCUAAUACAUGCAAGUCGAACGCAGUGGGGACGGGUGAUUAACACGUGGGUAACCUCCCAUCAGAGGGGAUAACACUUGGAAACAGGUGCUAAACCGAUACUGAUGGAUGGACCCGCGGUGCAUUAGCUAGUUGGUGGGGUAACGGCUCACCAAGGCCACGAUGCAUAGCUGAGCUGAGAGGGUGAUCAGCGACACUGGGACUGAGACACGGGCCAGACUCCGACGGGAGGGAGCAGUGGGGAAUAUUGGGCAAUGGGCGAAAGUCUGACCGAGCAACGCCGCGUGUGUGAAGAAGGUGUUCGGGGUGUAAAACUCUGUGGUUGGAGAAGCGGGAUCUAAACAGAAAGAAACGGCUAACUACGUGCCAGCAGCCGCGGUAAUUC